rnacentral:lncRNA from 1 species
UUGAAGGCCUGAGGCAGGAGGAUGGCUUGAGUCCAGAACCUGAAGACCAGCCUGGACAACAUAAGAUGACAACUCCUCCCUGUGUUCUCAGAUGAUGGAAGGAUCAGGGGCUUUGUCUAAAAAGGCACUAAUCCCACUCACGAAGGCCCCACCCUCAUGACCUAAUCACCUGCCCAGGCCCGCACCUUCCAAUGCCAUCUCCUCGAUGAUGAGUUUCAGCAAAUGAGCACACACAGUGAGACCAUACUAGGCCAGCAGAAUAUGCUAAAAUACAAGAUAAACAACUAAACCAGGAGUCUGGCCCCGCUACAGGACAAUUGUCCCAACCCUUCAAAAAGUCAGUAUCAUUGAAAGAAAAAUGGAGAUGCCACUCUAGACUAAAAAGACAAAAGAGACUGAGCAACCCAAUGCAGAUGUAUGAGUUUGAUUGGAUCCUGCCCACCUGGAUGCACACUGGAGGAGAUACACUGGACCCUUGACUUACGAACUCGUUUGGUUCCUGAGGGCUGGUUAUAACUCAGUCAAGACAGCUGAGAUCUGGAUGUUUAUCUGGGUACACACUAUAGAUAACAAGAGGC